AGUGACCCUACAGUGACAUGUAACCACUCUCCUUCUUUUGUAUUGGAAAACUUACUUGCCUGGGUCAUCCAUCCCACCUUGGGAAGGCUGAAGAGCUGAGAUUGCCUGUUUUUGAACGUUCAUUAUCUGAAGCUGGCAGCUGAACAAACCUGUUUUGCUUAAAAUCGGUUCGAGAUGCAGGCGCUCGGCAUUUUGUUGAAGCAAUGGAAAGCUGAGGCAGAUAGAUACUAAGAAGUGGGAAUCCUGAAUUGUACGGGAGAAGAAUGUAAGCACAAAGCACGUGAACCCCUUGAAAUGUGCUAGACGCGCGGUGCCUGCACUUUGGAUGGCAACACUGCACCUUCACCCUGCCAGUUACAGAUAUGCUUAGUUUAAAAAUCAAUUUAUGUAUUAGUAAAGACUGCCAGCAAAAAAAUGCGGUAUCAUUGUCCCAAAGCUAAGGUACCAAAUCUUACAUGCACAGGUCAUUUGCUGUGGAUGGAGCUGUGUGAAGCUGACUGGACAGGCGUUUUCAGUGGAAGCGCCACCUCAGGCGCCCCUCCCAGCAUCUCUCUCUCCUCAGAAUACCCUUUGGUGGCUCUUCCCCCAGCGAUGUGCAAGACCACAAGACCACACUCACAGGGUAUUUAAACUGCUCUCUAGCGACUCGCCAUGCGGUUUUUCGGCUUCUUCCCUCUGUAUUUUGGGGUCUGGAAAAUCACCGAGGAGUGUUUUGCCGAUAAACCUGGACUUUUAACUUUUAAUUUGGUUUUCUUUGAAUUACUGCAGCAACAGAGAGACUUACUGGGGGCAAAGACACCUUUCACUUUCAUCAUUUAUUUUCCUACCAGAUGGCAGUUAUGAUUGUACCUCAUUGCCAACAUGUGUGAUUCUUCUGAGAUUGCAGUCACUCCAAGAAGUGUGCAGAAUCCCUUUGAGGAGCAUCGUGUAGGAGGUCCAAGUGCUGGAAGCAGAUGAAAGCUUGAAGUAAGGCAAGAGAAUACACAAGAAAGAAAGUCAACACAAGAGACAAUAAAAACAAAAACCACCAGAGCUUUUAAACUGAAGAAGCAGCCUGUCUCAUUAAGGGCCUGCGAAGCACACUAUUUUCAGUUGCUGGCUAAUCUUUAGAUUCCCAGAUCCCUCACUCAUCACUUCUUUCCUCUAGGGAAUACUUGCCUAUCAAUUUUCUUAUUCUCUUUUAUUCUACCUCUGUCCCUGGGCUAUGCAGUUAAAUUGUUUUCUUGGUGUUAGUCUAUCCCCAAAUGAUUAGAAAUGAAGUGGAUGCUAUUAGUGCCUGCUUGUAUCACAUACCAAGAAAGCAAUCCAUUCCUUUAUGAGAAUGAAGAUUCUAUCAUGUCAUCUUUUCUCUCGUGAGUUGUGAAAUUGCAGCCAACAGCUAGUGUAAGUCUGGAGAGGAUAAGGAGGGAAGCCUAGAGAGUCAAGAGUGUAUCUUCCUGUGGCCAAGCAGAGCAGCAGGCGCAUAAAAGUGUACCCUACUGUAUAGGAUUGUGCACUGAAACCACCAUUGUUUUCCUAUUUCAGCUCUCUGAAGCCGCGUUGUCUUUUCUGCUUGUCCCACCCUGGGAAGGCAUGCAAGUCUGAAUUAACGCCUUUAUUCAGGGAUGUGACUCGAUAAAAAACUCGCAGGAGUUUCCAGAUACCUGACUCUGCAACACAUCUGUUAGAUACACUCAGUCAGCUGUGUCUGCGACUGUUUCCAAUAGUGCCUGGUUGUUGUGAUUCCUAUACAUCGUAUUUUUCACUUUCAUGCUGUCUUUCAUCUUUUAGAAGUUAAGUUUCUAGUCUGAAAAAUGUCAUUGGCGUGUACAUAUGUGCCUUUAUUUCUUCAGUAUUUAGAUAUCUGGAAUAGAGGCUUAAAUUUAAAUAGACUUCACAAAUUCUGUCAUUGUUCUUAUUUCUGGUCUGUUGGUUCAUUUUACUCCUCAUUGCAGACUAUAUCUUUGUCCUAUUGUCCUGAAACAUAUAGCUUCUUCCCCAGACAGACUUUGGACAACUGCCUGUCGUCAAUCUCUGAAAUACUUGGCUUCUGUAUCUUACCUAAAUUGUUUUCUAAAAUUGUUUCAGACAGAAAGUUAGACCUGGUUCCUAUUACUCCAUUCACGGUCAAAGCUAAAGUUUCUUUAUAAUUCAUUUUUGUACCAAUGUCUGAAUUAUUGGCUGCAGUUCUUCAAUCUUUUAAAAAUCUUUGGUGAUACAUUUUCUCUCAAGUUACUCUCGUCUUCAGUCAAAUAGUAAGGCCCUUUACAAUAUUUCUUGUUCCCUCCCAUUCCCCUCCCCGUCCUACUCCACCUCCUAUACACAGAACCAUUUAUAGUCAAGCAACUGAUUGACAGAAAACCCUGAGAUCUGCCGCCCUACUAUUUGAGCAGAGGUUUUGUUUCCUUACUUUAUCCCACUUUGUCUUUUGAGACUGGUGAACUCUAAACAACCUCAUAAAUCCUUGUUCAAAUAUAAUCCCAUAUGUUGCAUUUCCUCCACUGUACUUACCCAGUCAGUUUUUUUCUUUAUGGAACUAAGAUGUAUGGAACUUAUUCUGGAAAAAAAAACCACCUAGUAAAUGCUGUAGAUUUUGAACACCUUUA